rnacentral:misc_RNA from 1 species
AGCUUCAUGGUUUGACACAGUGUACAUUGCUCAUUGUUUGCUGUUUCGUGGUGGUGCUAGCAGCUACCUACUAGUCAUAUAUAUGUUAUAUAGAAUACAGAGUUGUCUCCAUUUAGUAUGUGUAAGUUUUGAUCACUCCUGUAUGAAUUUAUUAAAGAAAGCAUUAUGAAAUGAAACACAUUAGAAAAUUAUUUGUAGAUACUUUAAAAAUUGCACUUUUUGAUAUGAUUAUCUUAUACUUCACAUAGAAAUUAAAAAACAAUUCUGAAAAAUACUGGUUUUUGUUGUCAAUUUUUACACCUUCAAUGCUAAAUACAAUAAGACUUGGUUUAUUCCAAAUCUAUGUAUUUUUUUAAAUAUGAAAAUUACUUGCAAUUUCCUUUGUAAAGUGAGAAUAUGAUCAUGCAUAUCUACCAUCUUAUUUUGAUAAGAUUGGAUUUAAAUUAAUAAUAGUUUUAUACAUGCAAUUAAAGGAGUUUGU